GAAUCAAACUUGACUUGUAAAGCCAAUAAAAGCCCCUUGGAGAAUUGGCCUCAGAUCUUGUCUGCAACUGUCCCUGUAAAGGUGAGGGAACUGAAACACACUGAGCUGAACAGGAGCCUUUGGAGAGAACGCUCUGGACCGGUGAGUGAGCCAUGAGGUCGAGCCACAGGCUCUGAAGUCGUGAAGCCUUGGGACGGAGCGGGUGGUGCUUCGAGGAAGCGCGCCCCCGGGGCCGGUCCCGGAGGGCUCGAUCCGCGUCUACAGCAUGAGGUUCUGCCCGUUUGCUGAGAGGACGCGUCUGGUCCUGAAGGCCAAGGGAAUCAGGCAUGAAGUCAUCAAUAUCAACCUGAAAAAUAAGCCUGAGUGGUUCUUUAAGAAAAAUCCCUUUGGUCUGGUGCCAGUUCUGGAAAACAGUCAGGGUCAGCUGAUCUACGAGUCUGCCAUCACCUGUGAGUACCUGGAUGAAGCAUACCCAGGGAAGAAGCUGUUGCCGGAUGACCCCUAUGAGAAAGCUUGCCAGAAGAUGAUCUUAGAGUUGUUUUCUAAG
rnacentral:sRNA from 1 species